UUUGCAUACAGGUUCGCAUAGCCGGUUGAAACGUCAGUCUCCUAUAUUAGGUUACAAGAAUUAUAUGCAAACUCCGGCUCAACCUAGCGUUAUAGUCAAUGGAGCUCCAAGUAAUACCUAUAAAGUGCCAGGAUAUUCGUAUGGAGUUCCCAACACUUAUGCAGCUCAAGGAUCUUCUUAUGGCGCCAAUAGAGCACCCACUGUAGUGGUCAAUAUGCCAGAUGACAACUACAUAACGCCCAUUGCAAACAACCCGUAUGUCUUACAAUCAAGAAGAUUAUAGACUAUAUCGAGACAAAAUCACAAAACGUAAUAAAAGUUUACACUUGUUACUGAAAAUAAAGCUCUAUUUACAUGAAAA